rnacentral:rRNA from 1 species
CGGUGGGGAGCAAACAGGAUUAGAUACCUGGUAGUCCACGCUGUAAACGAUGUCGAUUUGGAGGUUGUUCCCUUGAGGAGUGGCUUCCGGAGCUAACGCGUUAAAUCGACCGCUGGGGAGUACGGCCGCAGGGUUAAAACUCAAAUGAAUUGACGGGGGCCCGCACAAGCGGUGGAGCAUGUGGUUUAAUUCGAUGCAACGCGAAGAACCUUACCUACUCUUGACAUCCAGAGAAUUUAGCAGAGAUGCUUUAGUGCCUUCGGGAACUCUGAGACAGGUGCUGCAUGGCUGUCGUCAGCUCGUGUUGUGAAAUGUUGGGUUAAGUCCCGCAACGAGCGCAACCCUUAUCCUUUGUUGCCAGCACGUUAUGGUGGGAACUCAAAGGAGACUGCCGGUGAUAAACCGGAGGAAGGUGGGGAUGACGUCAAGUCAUCAUGGCCCUUACGAGUAGGGCUACACACGUGCUACAAUGGCGUAUACAAAGAGAAGCGACCUCGCGAGAGCAAGCGGAACUCAUAAAGUACGUCGUAGUCCGGAUUGGAGUCUGCAACUCGACUCCAUGAGGUCGGAAUCGCUAGUAAUCGUAGAUCAGAAUGCUACGGUGAAUACGUUCCCGGGCCUUGUACACACCGCCCGUCACACCAUGGGAGUGGGUUGCAAAAGAAGUAGGUAGCUUAACCUUCGGGAGGGCGCUUACCACUUUGUGAUUCAUGACUGGGGUGAAGUCGUAACAAGGUAACCA